UGUGACUCUUGAUAAUAGAGUUCUUCAGCCAAUCCUCUGGGCCCGUCCUACCACAACACUGCCCCUGUGAACAGUAGCAGCAGUGUGAUGAAGAGCUGACCCAGGACCAGCACGAUGAGGAGGCCCAUGUACUGAGGAGGAAGAGCAGAGUUUCUCUGAGCUCAACUUAAAUCUCAGUUUAACACCUGGA